rnacentral:lncRNA from 1 species
CCCCUGCGGACCAGUGAACCUCGCCCGAGGGCUCAAUAAAGAAGAUUUUUGCCCUCUUUUUCUCACCUCUCAGCCUUAUUGAUCCAUGGUGCCCUUCCAUUGCCUUUCAUUGGUGCCGAAACCCGGGAGGGGACACCUCCUAAGCCCCCCCAGAGGCUCAGGGGGACUCCCCUCCUGGUCGGAUCAGUCCUCUCCCUCAGUCAGGUCAGGCUUCUCCUCCACGGCCAUCUGUCCAUUUCGUCCGGUUACUUGCUGCCAGGUCGCAGUUGCUGCAGCUACUCCAGUCCAAUUCGGCCGACGCUAGAUCAACUGAGAUGCAAAACCCAUGUUCACAUCAUGAGUGAGUCUUCUAACUCGGACAAUGCAAUCAACAAAUUCUAAGACCAAAUUCCGGUGGCACUGGCUCCAAAGCUCCUGAGUGUGGAAGGAGGUGAACAGGGAAAAGCAGAGAGGACAAAAGUCACAUCCCCUCCCCACAGACCCAUACUGGGGAAGGGUGGAAGAUUUAGCUGCGAGUCAAGUUCAGAAUUUUGAUUAACAUCUUGGCAUGCACAUUCGAAUUUCAGAAUCAAGACUGUUGGCCAUAAAAAAUGACUAUAGCCUUGUGUAUUACCUGAACUGAGCAGUAAAAAAAAAGUCAUGGUCCUUCUGGGGCUUUUAUUCUGAGACAGGAACCCUGAACAGGCAGGAGAAAGGGAAUGUUGACAGAGAAACAAAGACAGUUGGCGACACACGCUGACCGCCAUGCGGACGUCCAUCAAACCCAGCACUGGCCCUGGAAAUUUUCUGCUGAUUUUCUUGAUUGUGAUAUACCUCAGCACUUGACUUGCUGAAUAAGACAACUGUGGCAAUUAUGACUACUGACAAGAAUAUUGUGUAAAUGAUCAAGAAUAACUUGUUAUAUAUCUAGACCAGAUAUAUAUGAAAGAGAAAAUUGACAAAGGUGGAGCAAGUAUCCCAGCUAUUAAUGU